UACGGGGGGGGUAAGCGUUGUUCGGAAUUACUGGGCGUAAAGGGCUCGUAGGCGGCCAACUAAGUCAGACGUGAAAUCCCUCAGCUUAACUGGGGAACUGCGUCUGAUACUGGAUGGCUUGGAUUCGGGAGAGGAAUGCGGAAUUCCAGGUGUAGCGGUGAAAUGCGUAGAUAUCAGGAGGAACACCAAUGGCGAAGGCAGCUCGCUGGGACGGUACUGACGCUGAGACGCGAAAGCGUGGGGAGCAAACAGG
rnacentral:rRNA from 1 species